GACGAACGCUGGCGGCGUGCUUAACACAUGCAAGUCGAGCGGUAAGGCCCUUUCGGGGGUACACGAGCGGCGAACGGGUGAGUAACACGUGGGUGACCUGCCCUCAGCUCUGGGAUAAGCCUGGGAAACCGGGUCUAAUACUGGAUAUGACUCCAUGACGCAUGUUGUGGGGUGGAAAGCCUUGUGCGGCUGAGGAUGGGCCCGCGGCCUAUCAGCUUGUUGGUGGGGUGANGGCCUACCAAGGCGACGACGGGUAGCCGGCCUGAGAGGGCGACCGGCCACACUGGGACUGAGACACGGCCCAGACUCCUACGGGAGGCAGCAGUGGGGAAUCGUUGCGCAAUGGGCGAAAGCCUGACGCAGCGACGCCGCGUGAGGGAUGAAGGUCUUCGGA
rnacentral:rRNA from 1 species